rnacentral:sRNA from 1 species
GGUUUUUAUACACAGCAGACGUAAACAAAAGUGAAAGUCAGACGACAGCAAUAGAUAUGAAGGCAAAAUCAUUUCAUUAACUGUUUGUAGCAUCUUUGACAAAUGGUGAGCUUCAAGAGAGCUAUGGGAAUUCUGAAAACAUGCAUACAAGGGUGACAUAGAUCCCAUGAAGUAAUGCUGCAGAAUGAAAUCUCAGUGAUCUGAUUGUUGCUGUUUUUCUUACUAUUUAAAAGCUUGCAAAGGAAUAAACAGUGCCAAGCACACGAAUUAUGAAAGUGAUUGAUAUCAUCUGACAUGGUAAAUUAUGACAAUCUUGGUGAUCUGCCGAUAUGGAUAGUCACUACAUUUCAGGAACACAAUAUCUUAUAUGGAUUGAACAUUUUUUCUGGAGCCAUUACUUAAUUAAUGCAUGUGUGGUACAGCCAAUAUCGCACUGGUGUGAAAGUUAAUGGGGUCAGUUCUUUGAUACCUUGAUUACUAAAGACACACACUCUCUAUGGAAGAGCUACUCAGGACUGUGUUUUCAGCAAUUAUGGGUAGUUCAAAAAGUUAAAGUGAAACAUAUAAGUGACAGCGAUUUUAAGUCAAUGAAAUUCAUUGUUCCUUUUUUUAGCUCACCUGAGCUGAAAGCUUAAGUGAGCUCAGCUAUUCUAAUCACUUUUUGUUUGGCGUUCGUCUGUCUGUCUGCUUUUACAUUUUUUACCUUUUCAAAUAUUUUUAAAAGGUGUUUUUUUGGUUAAAUAUUGUAAAAUUUGAAAAUUCUAAACCGGUGAAAGUUUUUCAAUUAUAUAGUACUUUAAUCUACAUUAAUAUCGACAGAUGUCACAUACCACCUUAAGAAUUUUUAAAAUUUGUUGGUACAUGUUUCUUUAAAAAAUCCUCUUCUCAAAAACCAUUUGGCCAGAAAAGGUGAUACUUGUGUGAAAGCAUCCUCAGGUAGUGUAGAUUCAAGUUUGUUCAAAUCAUGGUCCCCGGGGGUAGGGUGGGGCCACAACUUUUUGAGCAAGAUCUACUGUACUUAUUUGUCAACAUAUUUUGAAUUUGAUAUUGUACACUAAGUGCUUAUUUGAUAAGCUUUUGUCGCUCAGGUGAGGGAUGUGGCCUUUAGGCCUCUUGUUUAAUGAUUUAGAAAUCUGUGAUAUUUUCAGUAGAACUAUUAUACUAUUUCACCCAACUGUAUAAACUUUAUAGAUAAAAAAUUGUUUUAGAUUAUGAAAUAUUUAAUCAAUUAUCUGAAGGUAAUUUACUAAUGCAUGCACUAUAAAAUUAUAACAAGGAGAAAAAUAUGCAAAAAUUUAAGAUUUUUUGUGAUGAACAUUAGUCAUUGGUGGUUAUGUUUGUUAAUUAUGUAAUGUGUGAAUGUUAGAGUUCACCUUCAUUGAAAUGAAGUAUCAAUUGUUUUAUUAAUAAAAAAA